rnacentral:rRNA from 1 species
GACGAACGCUGGCGGCGUGCUUAACACAUGCAAGUCGAACGGAAAGGCCCUGCUUUUGUGGGGUGCUCGAGUGGCGAACGGGUGAGUAACACGUGAGUAACCUGCCCUUGACUUUGGGAUAACUUCAGGAAACUGGGGCUAAUACCGGAUAGGAGCUCCUGCUGCAUGGUGGUGGUUGGAAAGUUUCGGCGGUUGGGGAUGGACUCGCGGCUUAUCAGCUUGUUGGUGGGGUAGUGGCUUACCAAGGCUUUGACGGGUAGCCGGCCUGAGAGGGUGACCGGCAAAAUUGGGACUGAGAGACGGCCCAGACUACUACGGGAGGAAGCAGUGGGGAAUAUUGCACAAUGGGCGGAAGCCUGAUGCAGCAACGCGGCGUGCGGGAUGACGGCCUUCGGGUUGUAAACCGAUUUCGCAUGUGACGAAGCGUGAGUGACGGUAAUGGGUAAAGAAGCACCGGCUAACUACGUG